ensembl:lncRNA
AUUGUGCAAGUUCUACAAUGAAUAUAUUUCACUGACCGGCAGGGUUGUGUUGACACUCAUUUGGGUGUGUCUGCAGUAUAUCUAGGACUGACACAUUUCUCCAAACUAAUUUGGAACAGAGAAGGACCUGAAGACGAGACGAGAUUUGUGAGAUUUCACUACUUUUAUCAUCACUGCAUUUUCACUGCUAAUAAGUUGAACAUAAUGGUUCAAAAGACGAUGGUCUUUCUCUUCAUGCUGAUUGGAUGGUCACAGACUUUUCCGUACCACAAUGUCCCCACUGAGGAUAAAGUAAUGAAAGAUGCUGACAAGAUAGAAAGAGAAAGAAGAGAUGUUAUGCAGAGUGGUACUGAUUUUACUCCACCAGUGUGCCGUGUGGUAAAUGAGAGUUUGGACUGUUCUUCAUCAGGUGGAAAUGAAACCUGGGAAGUGAAUUAUAUCAUGUCAGAUGGUGCUGGUUCAGGAAUUGAUUCCCCCCUUUUUUCUGCUGCCAUUGACUGUUGUGAAGGCAACAUUACCUUUUUUAAUAUUUUAAAUGUGACUGUAGAUGAAAAUGGCUACAAUGCAACCACUGUGAAAUAUACUGGUCCUUGCUGUUUCCAUAAUGUGGAGAUUUCUGUGGUGGACAAGGCAGGAAACAAGGCAAAGUGCCCUUUUAAUAUCAAACACCCUGUGACACCGUGCAAACACCCUUUGACCACAAUCAGCCCAAUGACGGUCAGUCCCACGUCCAGCAGCUUCACCACAACCAUCUCUCUUUGGUCAAGUUUAAUACUGAUGGCACUUAAAUCUAUGUUGCUUUAACAUAGAUGUGCACUUUCUGUAAAUAUGCACUUUAUGGAAGUAUUUUUUUUAUUCUUUUUCUCAUUUAUUUUUCUCGUGUCGUUUCUAUAAUUAUGUAUCUGGAGCAUUAGAAAAUACAGUCAAACUUAUGAAAGUAGUAUGUAUUACAUGGUCUAUCUUUCAUUGUACUGUAUAAAGUGCUAAAUAACCUUUAAAAAACAUUUGUUUUAAUUUAAGCUCAUGUACAGUACUGAUCUCAGAUUCAUGCUCUUUAUUUCAAGCAGUUCUAUUACAGUGCUCACUGUGGGGGAAUUGAUUUAAAAGACCACCCUGACUUGUGUGUAAGAGAGGCAUUUAAGCCUACUAUUUAUUUUCCAGACAAGUUUGCAUAUACAUAUACUGCAAGAUAUACAUCAUUUUUAAAAAUGAAGAGGAAUCAUAAACAAGCCCUUAUUAACACCCUGUCUAUGGACAUAAACAGUGUGACAUUACAGUAAAUAGAUGCACCAUUCUCUUUCUGAUGUACUUCACACCCUUGUGUGUCUUUCUGAUGUACUUCACAAGCUUGUGUUACUUCUGUCAUAAAGGACAACUGGACAUUUUCAUUGACGUGUUUAAAGAGCUUCGUCCUUAUUACAAAUUCA